rnacentral:rRNA from 1 species
CCUACGGGUGGCAGCAGUGGGGAAUAUUGCACAAUGGGGGAAACCCUGAUGCAGCGACGCCGCGUGAGUGAAGACGUAUCUCGGUAUGUUAAGCUCCAUUUGUAGGGAAGAAAACGACGGUACCUGACUAUGUAGCCCUGGCUAACUACGUGCCAGCAGCCGCGGUAAUACGGAGGGGGCAAGCGUUAUCCGGAUUUACUGGGCUUAAAGGGAGCUUAUACGGUUAAGUAAGUCUGUAGUGAAAGGCCGGGGCCUAACCCCGGGAGUGCGCUGGAAACUGUUGAACUUGAGUGCAGGAGAGGUAAGCGGAAUGCGUGGUGUAGCGGUGAAAUGCGUAGAUAGUAGGAGGAACACCGAUGGCGAAGGCAGCUUACUGGACUGUAACUGACGUUGAGGCUCGAAAGCGUGGGGAGCAAACAGGAGUAGAUACCCGGGUAGUC